UACGUAGGGUGCGAGCGUUAAUCGGAAUUACUGGGCGUAAAGCGUGCGUAGGCGGUCCGCGAAGUCUGAUGUGAAAGCCCCGGGCUCAACCUGGGAACUGCAUUGGAAACUAACGGGCUCGAGUGUGGCAGAGGGGGGUGGAAUUCCACGUGUAGCAGUGAAAUGCGUAGAGAUGUGGAGGAACACCGAUGGCGAAGGCAGCCCCCUGGGCUAACACUGACGCUCAGGCACGAAAGCGUGGGGAGCAAGCAGG
rnacentral:rRNA from 1 species